rnacentral:lncRNA from 1 species
GCAAAAUAAAAUAAAUUUCUUCUCUUUAUUAACUUAACACAUUUACAAUGUUUGUAGUUUACAAAGUACAACCCUUAAAUUUUGCUUUGCAUAAAAUAAAACUCAGUCUAAUCUUCUCACGUCUUCUUCAUCCGCUAAGGUGUUUGGGAGUAUAAGAACCCUAAUCUCAACCCUUUCCCUCAAGUCAUCAACAACCCAACUCAAGGGCUUCCUUUUUCUUUCUUCGUUGCUAAAAGCCGCUCUUUAUGGCUAGUACCUAUAGGUGUAAAGGCACAACUUUGUCCUUCGCCUCGGUUGCCCAACCACUCGUCUUAUCGAACCGCGUUUAGGGCUAUUUUUUCCAUGACUCAGCUCUUAGCUCUCUGGCCUCUCGAGUUUGGCCUCACCAACCUAGAUAUUACACUCACCUUCCUUUCGAGUCGAGUCAUCCAUGCUAAGGAGCGAUGUGCUUACCAACCGGCUUCUUAGAAGCAAGAUAAGAUGUCAUGGCUAGCAUGUCAUGUAAGAUUACAUAAUAACUCUGUCUUCCCUCCCUAACUAAGCUACAACACCUGAGAUUCAUCCUUCGCUUGGCUUCAACCUUGAUCACCUGGAGAGAGAGAAAUUUAAAACAUAAGCCUAACAAACUUAGUGAGUGAUGCGUUUGAGAAAAAAACGAAAAAAAAAAAAAAAAAAACCUUCUAGGGAAACACGCAAAAUCACAAUAAUAAUAAGGUCAAACCGCAUCCUAUAAAUCUCAUUACAUCAAGCCACAAACAAUUAAAACAUUAUUACAACAAGUGCCACAAGUACCGCACAUCAAUAUAUAUAUAUAUUAUAGAGUUAUAUAUAUAUAUAUAUAUUAUAGAGUUAUGCCUCUGUUUCUAUUUUGUUGGGAUUUUACUUAUUUUCAAGUGGAGGAUCCUAAUAAAUUGGUAUCAGAGCUAGUCCAUCCUAACUAGAACAAGAUAAUGGCUCAAAAGCAAUUAGAAGAACAUGUAGAAAACCAUGAGAAGGAGAUGUUGAGAAUUAAGGAGAUGAUUCUUGCCUUGAAAAUGAGUGUGUAAAGACUUACUUAUGAGAUGAAAGAAAAUAGUAGUAGUAAAAGAAGGGAGGAGUUAGGCACGCCAGAUGAUUCUGAAUAUAAAAUGAAGGAGAAAAUGGAAAACGUGGAGGCCACGAAUACUCUGGGAAGAGGAUCAUAUGACAUAAGUAAAUACAAGAACUUGGAGAAGUUGAUAUUUGCAAGGGAAACCUCAUAAACUUGGGUGUACAGAGCUAAAGAUUACUUCAAAAUAAACGAGUUGUUGGAUGGAAAAAAGAUGAAGGUCGUUGUAGUUAGUUUUGCAUAAGACGAAAUUAAUUGGUUUCAUUGGAGUAAUAAGAAUAAGAAGGUGGUAUCGUGGGAUGAUCUGAAACAACGAAUAUUCGAACAUUUUCAACCCACGGAAGAAGAGAGUUUAGGGACAAGGCUUAUUAGAAUCCAACAAGACGAUCCUUACCCAGACCACUUGAAGAAAUUCUUGAACUAUACGGCACCUCUGUCAAAGAUGCCAGCAAGCAUGUUAAUGGACACUUUCAUCACCCAAUUGGACUAGAGCUUCAAGCGAAAGUUUAUAGCCAUCGCCUAAAAACACUUUAGGAGUGUAUGAGAGAAGCCCAACUCGUGAACGAUAGAAAUGUGGCCCUAAAAUUAGUCCUAAUUAAGUGGGGAGGGAGGGGGCAUGGGCUGAGAAAAAAAGGAGGCUCAAGAUAAGAAACAAGGUUAGUCCAGUGCAGUGCAGUGCAAAGGUGGACCUAAGGGUUAAGGUGGACCUAAGGGUUUACAGAAGAACAUAGUCAUCACCACGAAAAAUACUAUCACAACUAUAGGUGCAAAGUCUGAGAAAAUGAACUCAUAUUGUUUAUGUCCAACGAAGAAGAGGAAGCGAGAGAAGAGAAGGAAAUCGAAACUCUUGAAGUCGAAACUGUGGACUUGAACGCCAUGAAAAUCACCAAAGAGAUAGAGAUUCCCUUGUGGAUGAUCAUGGGAUUAUUGGAGAAGGGGAUUAUUAAAUUGA